rnacentral:rRNA from 1 species
UGUGGUUUAAUUCGAAGCAACGCGAAGAACCUUACCAAAUCUUGACAUCCUUUGACAACUCUAGAGAUAGAGCCUUCCCCUUCGGGGGACAAAGUGACAGGUGGUGCAUGGUUGUCGUCAGCUCGUGUCGUGAGAUGUUGGGUUAAGUCCCGCAACGAGCGCAACCCUUAAGCUUAGUUGCCAUCAUUAAGUUGGGCACUCUAAGUUGACUGCCGGUGACAAACCGGAGGAAGGUGGGGAUGACGUCAAAUCAUCAUGCCGCUUAUGAUUUGGGGUACACACGUGCUACAAUGGACAAUAAAAAGGGCAGCGAAACCGGGAGGUGAAGCAAAUCCCAUAAAGUUGUUCUCAGUUCGGAUUGUAGUCUGCAACUCGACUACAUGAAGCUGGAAUCGCUAGUAAUGGUAGAUCAGCUGUGCUACGGUGAAUACGUUCCCGGGUCUUGUACACACCGCCCGU